CCUACGGGGGGCAGCAGUGGGGAAUAUUGGACAAUGGGGGGAACCCUGAUCCAGCGACGCCGCGUGAGUGAAGAAGUAUCUCGGUAUGUAAAGCUCUAUCAGCAGGGAAGAAAGAAAUGACGGUACCUGACUAAGAAGCCCCGGCUAACUACGUGCCAGCAGCCGCGGUAAUACGUAGGGGGCGAGCGUUAUCCGGAUUCACUGGGUGUAAGGGGAGCGUAGGCGGCCAUGCAAGCCGGGGGUGAAAGCCCGGGGCCCAACCCCGGGACUGCACUUGGAACUGCUUGGCUGGAGUGCGGGAGGGGCAGGCGGAAUUCCUGGUGUAGCAGUGAAAUGCGUAGAUAUCAGGAGGAACACUGGCGGCGAAGGCGGGCUGCUGGACAGCGACUGACGUUGAGGCUCGAAGGCGUGGGGAGCGAACAGGAUUAGAUACCCUAGUAGUC
rnacentral:rRNA from 1 species